rnacentral:lncRNA from 1 species
UGAAUAUAUAUUGAAAACGAAUGUUGAAUUUUUAAAAAAACGAUUGUUUGAUAUUGAAAUUGAAUGUAGAAUAUUGAAAAUGAAAUGUUGAAUGUUGAAAAUCGAAUGUUGAAUGUUGAAUAUUGAAAACGAAUGUUGCAUGGUGAAAAUAGAAUGUUGAAAAUGGAAUAUUGAAACAGGUGUUGAAUGUUGGAAACGAAUGUUGAAAAAAAAAAAUGUUUCACAAAAGAAACGAAUGUUGAAAAAAAAAAUGUUUCACAAGAAAAUUAUUUGAAUGUUGAAUAUUGAAAUCGAAUGUUGAUUGUUGAAAAUGAAAGCUGGA